AGCAGAUUCUAUAUGCAUUUUCUUAUGUUUAAAUUGUGUUUUUGAGUGAAAAACGAUUUCAAGUCAUUUUUCCGUUUAGAAACGACUAUGCGACCUAUUGAUAAGUCGUUCUGAAAACUAUCUUGUUAUUUUCGUCGGGUGCGUUACGACGUGUUACCAAAAGUUAUGUUGCUUUCGUCAAGUUUGUUACGACGUAUUGACAACCGAUGUGUUCCUUACGUCAGGAUGCAUACGUCAGCAUAAGCAUAAAACAACAGAUAGGACAGGUGGAAUAAUGAUGACAAAGAUCACGAAUACGGAUGUUUCACAAAGUUCUGUGUCAAAAAACUUCUGCGCAUCUUGACCUUCACAAAACUAUGUUGCGGAUUUCAUCGAAUGGAAGCCCUCAGAAAAAGUGAGAGAGCAUAACCGCAACAGCAAACGAACGUUGAAAUUAAUGUGCAAAGUCGCCAGCCAAGAUUGCAGUUUCAUAACAUCGUUAUUAAAUCUACGCCACCUCCAGCUCGUGGACACCUCCUUCCUACCUCGCAGGCAACCAUCACUCACCUGGCCGUGCUCACUGUGCUCCCGCUGCUAAUACUGGCCGGAUUUGAGGCGACAACCAUCUUUGCAAGCUUGU